GCCUGGGUGGCUCAGUCGGUUGGGCGUCUGACUUCGGCUCAGGUCAUGAUCUCACAGUUCGUGGGUUCGAGCCCCGCAUCGGGCU
rnacentral:tRNA from 1 species